AUUGAACGCUGGCGGCAGGCCUAACACAUGCAAGUCGAGCGGAUGAAGGGAGCUUGCUCCUGGAUUCAGCGGCGGACGGGUGAGUAAUGCCUAGGAAUCUGCCUGGUAGUGGGGGAUAACGUCCGGAAACGGGCGCUAAUACCGCAUACGUCCUGAGGGAGAAAGUGGGGGAUCUUCGGACCUCACGCUAUCAGAUGAGCCUAGGUCGGAUUAGCUAGUUGGUGGGGUAAAGGCCUACCAAGGCGACGAUCCGUAACUGGUCUGAGAGGAUGAUCAGUCACACUGGAAGUGAGACACGGUCCAGACUCCUACGGGAGGCAGAAGUGGGGAAUAUAGGACAAAGGGCGAAAGCCUGAUCCAGACAUGCCGGGUGUGUGAAGAAGGUCUUCGGAUUGGAAAGCACUUUAAGUUGGGAGGAAGGGCAGUAAGUUAAUACCUUGCUGUUUUGACGUUACCAACAGAAUAAGCACCGGCUAACUUCGUG
rnacentral:rRNA from 1 species